GGGGUUGUGGCUCAGCGGUAGAGUGCUUGUCUACCAUGUGCAAAACCCUGGGUUCAAUCCUCAGCACCACCU
rfam:Ictidomys tridecemlineatus contig057986, whole genome shotgun sequence.